UCAAGUGAACUGACUGCAAAGUUUACGAUUCGAGUCCCCAGCACGUAGAUACAGAUACAUGCACCCAUACCAGCGUCAGAUACAUUCGCCCUCGGUGUGUGUGCGCGAGAGCGAGAGAGCGCAGGUUCGUGCGAGAGCCAGUGCGAGUGUGUGAGUGCGACAGCUCAGGAGCGGACUUGCAGUGAGCUCUGGGUGAAAGGUGUUAGUUUAACACCUGUAUCCUAGCAUUUCAUUAAAUACUUAUUUCAUUCCUACCACAAAAAGUUGUUCCCAGACUUAGCUUCUUCCUGUCCGAAUAUUCUCAGCGCCCCUCUCACUGGCGCCACCCGCACUCCGCCCCUGGGUUUGUUGAUAUCAACUGUUGCAGUGCGCUGCCAGCUGGUGUGUGAGUAACUGAGCACGACAUACAUACAGCAUUGGCUGCGACGCUUAUGAAUCAGCUGUUCCCUGUGUAUUAAUCAUAUGGCUGUUUGAUUAAUCUGUACGUGUGUGCAUGUACUGGCGAGAAUAUAUACAAUCCGUUUGUAUGUGCGCAUGAAUAUAUCAAUCUGGCUUCUGUUUAUUUCAGACAAUUCUGAACGCUUUCGAGUACGGAAAAUCAGAAAAAUACAUGGAUAUUAUACGUACUCCCACACAGAGAGCCACUAUGCUGCCAUGUACCACAAGAUCUGAUAUAAUGUGCAUAAAAAUGGCAUGCAGUUAACGUCGAAUGCUUAAAAAAUACGCAGGAAUAUACAGAUAACUAUACAUUUUCACAGAUGCAGGUUCGAUGUAUAUACGUACUAUUUAUCCACGGAAUGACGCAGCGGAACAUGCACUUGCAUUUUCAUACAGUGUCAGGUAUAAAUAUCGGUUAAAGAACAAUGUACAUACGCGCACACGUAUGUACAUACGAGUAUGCAUGAUUUAAUUGUGCUCUGACACACGGAAGUAAUCGCGCUGAUCGUCGCGACCGCAAUAUUUCAUCUUAAGUUUUGAGCAGCGAUUUUACAAAAUAAUAUGUUCAUUCGACUUUUCGGGAGAACUGAUGUUUACAUUGACAUUUACUUAUGCGAUGAUUUUAGCAUGGCACGGAGGUUCUAGACGUCUACACGUAGGCUAAUCAUCUUUAAAGAGUUUAUGACUCAACAAGUUUUCCAUCGAUUUUGUAACACGUUGAAAAAAAGGUUAUUUUUUAACUUUUUAAAAAACCAACACUGCUUUUAUUAUUACAAAUAUUAUUUAAAAAAUGUAGAUACGUAUGAUUAUUAUUUUAAAUUAGGUAUUUAAAAAAAAUAAAUAAACAAGUUUUCAGAACAAUUUUUAAGUUAUUAACCGUCCUCCGCAACGAAAAAAUUUUUUAUUAAGUGAAAUAUAGUCGAAGUCGGGAGUCAAUGCCUUUUAACAGAUUAAAUACAAAUUUAUUUCUUUUCUUUAAAAAAAAAAUAAUAUUUAAAAUACUUUUUCCUUAAAAGAAAAAAAAUUCAUUUUUCAAAGGGAAAUAUUCCUACACAUUGUGGCCUGUCCCAAAGCCCUAAUUCGGACAAUAACGUUAGAACAUCGUUUCAGUAUAGACUAGACAAAGCAUUAACAGGUGAACCUUAAUUCAUAUCCUAUUUUCACGUUUUAGAGCAUGGCCAAUAUAUUUUCAGUUUGUAAACUAGUUUUAAACGAGACACUACUACAUUCCUAGACAAAAAGCUUUUAAAAUUGUAUAACAAAAGUUAAAUACUAUUUUACUCUUUAUAAAAUAAAUUUUCGUGAAAAGUUACAUAUUCGAUUAUAAUUUUGACCAAAAAAACAAAUUAUAAACAUGGAGGAAACUGGCAAGUUUUUAAGACAGGAAGGAACAACUAUUUGCAGGCUCUGCCGGGGGACGACUGGAUUAAUAUGUGCUAUGAUAAUUACGUGAAAGAGUAUAGGAGGCGGUUUCUUGAUCAAUACACGGAAGAGCAAAUACUGGAGAGUGCCUCUGAGCAUUGGGAGAAGAUGUCCUUGACCCCUCAGUCUCAAUUCUGCCCCAACUCUAACAACAGGAGCAUUAAAUUUGAACAAAGUUCCCCAACCGAUAAAUGUUGCCCGAAAAGAAGGAGCCCAAGUGCAGCAAGCCUAGGAAGAGUUGCCCCAAGCCGAAGUCCAAGCUCACUUGUCCUAUGAAGAAAUCGCGGAGCGCUAAACCAAAGGCGUCGACCUCUAAACUGAAGAAAAUUUGCGGCAAGUCAAAGCCAUCUUGUCCUCCACGAUCCUGUCCUAGACCAUGCCCCAAACCAUCGUGUCGGAAGUAAUAGAAGAUUCCCAAGUCCUGGCCACUUUUGACAUUUUAGGAUAUAUUGUAUAAAAAUAUAAAAA